CUGUGAUGCCCUUAGAUGUUCUGGGCCGCACGCGCGUUACACUGACAGAGGCAGCGAGUACUUCCUUAGUAGAGAUACUUGGGUAAUCUUGUGAAACUCU
rnacentral:rRNA from 1 species